GGAUCCGCUCCAGAAUGUAAUGGGUUCUUUCUUGGUCCAUGCUUCACCCUUCCACCAAGUUCCAUGAAAAUCUGGCCAGCAGUUUUCCCUUAAUCCUGCUGACAGACAAACCAACCAACCGACAGACAAACUGAGCCAAAAACAUAACCUUCUUAGCGGAGAUAAAAGAUCAAAAACUCUAACC